UACGUAGGUGGCAAGCGUUACUCGGAAUUACUAGGCGUAAAGCGCAGGUAGGUGGUUUGAUAAGUCCGUAAUGAAAUCUCCCGGCUUAACUGGGAGGGGUUUAGGGAUACUGUCAGGCUUGAGUGUGGGAGAGGUAACUGGAAUUCCUGGUGUAGCGGUGAAAUGCGCAGAUAUCAGGAAGAACACCCGUGGCGAAGGCGGCUCUCUGGAACGCAACUGACGCUGAGACGCGAAAGCGUGGGGAGCAAACAGG
rnacentral:rRNA from 1 species